rnacentral:tRNA from 1 species
AAGGUUUUAAGUUAAGUUAAAACUAGUAUCCUUCAAAGCUAUAAAUAAAGAAGACUAAUCUUUAGACCUUA